GUCUACCUAUGGUUCCUCAUUUUCUUUCUCAUUUGAGGGGGGAGGAAUGGAAGGAGUAAGUUUCAUAUGCUCAGUAAGAAAAACAGUAUUAAAUUAACAUCAUAAGAUUUCAAAAGUUUAUUAUUUUAUCUUAUCGAUUAGCUUCCUCGUUUACCUAACUCAUCAUUAAAAAAUGAAAAAUCAUUUAUUUGAAUAUCAAACUAGUACAUCAGCACAGAAAAUUAAAUAUAUAUAUAUCAUGCUAAAUAAUAAAGAAAAUCAAAUAAAUCAUGGAAUGUUCAAAUUUUUUGUGUCACGCUUUGCGAAUCAUUACAAACUUCCAUCUCUGAGGGUAGAUGCAGAUAUAGAUUUUUAACGGCCCAAGUGGAAUGAUCAUAUCAGAUAUAGAUACGGUAAUUUGCUCAGGUCCACUUUCAGCUGGCCAAACCAUAUACGAUCUAUGACCACGGUCGUACUAACCAUAGUGGUCCUAACAGAUAAUCUAUAGUCAUGACAUUACUUAGCCACGGGUGACCCCUACAGAUAGUGCGAUACCACUCUCGUCUGAUAGCAUGUCAUCAUCCACUACGAGCGGUCCUUUUACAUCUUUUCAUACCAGAUAGGGGAGAGAGAAACAGAUACCCUGAAGGGCAAGGGGAACAGAUACCCCUCAAAGAUAAAAAAACCUAAGGAGACACUU
rnacentral:lncRNA from 1 species